GCCGACGUAGCUCAGCCGGUAGAGCAACUGAUUCGUAAUCAGUAGGUCGUAGGUUCAAUUCCUAUCGUCGGCU
rnacentral:tRNA from 1 species